GAUCUGGUCAGGAUGAACGCUGGCGGCGUGCCUAACACAUAGCAAGGUCGAACGGGGUUAAGUGAAAUUUUCGGAUGGAGCUUAACUUAGUGGCGGACGGGUGAGUAACGCGUGGAUAACCUGCCUCACACUGGGGGAUAGCAGCUGGAAACGGCUGGUAAUACCGCAUAAGACCACAGCACCGCAUGGUGCAGGGGUAAAAGAUUUAUCGGUGUGAGAUGGAUCCGCGUCUGAUUAGCCAGUUGGCGGGUAACGGCCACCAAAGCGACGAUCAGUAGCCGGCCUGAGAGGGUGAACGGCCACAUUGGGACUGAGACACGGCCCAAACUCCUACGGGAGGCAGCAGUGGGGAAUAGUUGCACAAUGGGCGCAAGCCUGAUGCAGCAACGCCCGCGUGAGUGAAGAAGUAUUUCGGUAUGUAAAGCUCUAUCGGCAGGGAAGAAAGGCCCUUAACAGGGAGAUGACGGUACCUGACUAAGAAGCCCCGGCUAACUACGUGCCAGCCGCGGC
rnacentral:rRNA from 1 species